rnacentral:rRNA from 1 species
CAGCCACAUCACAUUGAAAUACUGGUUCCCAUACAAUCACAAAAGUUAAGCAACGUCGAGCCUGGUCAGUACCUAGAUGGGUGAUCACUUGGGAAUACCAGGUACUGUAAG